rnacentral:tmRNA from 1 species
GGGGAUGUAAUGGUUUCGACAUUACACCAGAAGCAUAGAUUGCAAGUAGUGGAUGGUCGCUUUGGCCACUUUAAAAAAGCGAAAUUAAAAAUAAACGCUGAUAAUCAAGAAUUAGCAUUAGCUGCCUAAUUGCGGCUACGCUUUACUAGGUAGUCCCACCUAUUUAGAUAAAGUGCAAUAACAGUGGGAAACAAAUCUACUCUUGCUUUUAGAGUAGAGGGUAUUUAAAAAAGCUAUAUUUUAUUUUAACCUGUUUGUCGGUGGAAGUAAAAUGAAUAUAAAAGAUAAACUAAACUUGUAGAUGUUUAUGUGGAAAGUGUUAUGGACAGGAGUUCGACUCUCCUCAUCUCCACCA